rnacentral:tRNA from 1 species
CACAUAGUAGCUUAAGAUAAAGCUCUAAACUUUUAAUUUAAAGAUGAAUUUUUUCCUAUGUGA